CGUCCAUAACUUAGAAUGCCUGGGAUUUUUUUUAGUUUUAAUAAAUUAAUAAAUCAACGUGUGUGUGAUUUGGUCUGAGACAGACAUUAAUCAAACUCUCCCCAAUGCUGAGGAGCUCUGAUCUGAUGGCCACAACCAUAGAUACACAUAAUAAAGUAUACAUGAUACACCUUUAUUAUGUAUAUCUAUGGCCACAGCCGUCCUUCUUGAACUAGGAAGCAAUAAUACCGGGGGAGGGGCGGGAAAUGUGACGUCACCGAGAAACGUUUUCAAAACUACCAGCUCGAGACCGUGCCUUUUAACUGUAUACUACAAAAAUGUCCGAAACCAAAAAUACACAGCACUGGUCUUCAGAAGAAACCAGCGUGCUGCUCGCGAUAUGGUCUUCUACGGAGAUCCAGAAAAAACUGGAGCGCUCGUCGAAGAAGAAAAUAGUUUACGAUGAGAUAAGCCAGGAAAUGCUGAACGGCGGCUUCAUUCGCUCGUCCGAACAAAUCAUAAACAAGUUAAAGAAGCUUAGGAAGGAGUACAGGGACCUGAAAAGGAAACCAGGUAAAAGUGACAGUGGACAGAUACAAAAAACAUUCGACCACGGCCUGAUGGAGUCUGUGCUUGAACACCGACCAGUGAACGUUAGUCCGCCGACUGGGGCCUUGGAUUCAGCGACAGCCACGCUUGAGAAAAACGCGGACUCCGUUGUGUUUUCUGUAGACGAGCUGGGUAGCAAAAUAUCUGAGCCCAAAACUGCACAGCUGUGGACUUCAGAAGAAACCAGCGCACUGCUUGCGAUAUGGUCCUCCACAGAGAUCCAGGAGAAACUGGGGAGCACAAAAAGAAAGAAAAGAGUGUAUGACGACAUAUGCCAAGAGAUGGUGAAUACAUGAAUACAUACACACACACAAAAAAAGCAGCCAAGACGAAUGAUUUUCUGUUUUUUAUAGAUUAAAAUUGAAAACAGAAAGCAGCUGGUAAAUGUAGUCACUUUAAUAUUCAAAUCCAGAACCUUGAUGUUAUGGACGCUGCACUGGAACGCCUACCAUCGAGCCAGUUUACUGAAGCAUUAAAUUCAGCAACAGCCAUGCUUGAGACGAAUACAGAAUCGCUGUCUUCUGCAGCUGAUCUCAGUAAGUUUUCAUUAUUGUCUUUCUUUGUUGUUCUCUUUUCUACACAAUUUUGCUAUCCUCAUAUGUUGGACAUGAUUAUUAUGUAAAUGCACUAUUUGCUACAUUUAGAUCUUCAAGUAAUGUGCUGCUUUUAUUAUAUUGAAUACAGACUCUUCGCCUGAGGAGGUGCUUGACCAAGCUGAACCAUCUUUCAGCUCCUCUCAACCCCAACCAAGAAAGCCUCUGGGAACAACCAGAAUAAAGAAGAGAGAUUCAAACCA
ensembl:lncRNA